rnacentral:rRNA from 1 species
CCCUUAGAUGUUCUGGGCCGCACGCGCGCUACACUGACGAAUGCAACGAGCUUAUAACCUUGGCCGAAAGGUCUGGGUAAUCUCCAAAUUUCGUCGUGAUGGGGAUAGAUUAUUGCAAUUAUUAAUCUUCAACGAGGAAUGCCUAGUAAGCGCAAGUCAUCAGCUUGCGUUGAUUACGUCCCUGCCCUUUGUACACACCGCCCGUCGCUACUACCGAUUGAAUGGUUUAGUGAGAACUCGGGACUGGCACUAAGGGGCUGGCAACAGCCUAUUAGAGCCGGGAACUUGCUCAAACUUGAUCAUUUAGAGGAAGUAAAANUCGUAACA